CCUACGGGAGGCAGCAGUAGGGAAUCUUCCACAAUGGGCGAAAGCCUGAUGGAGCAACGCCGCGUGGGUGAAGAAGGUCUUCGGAUCGUAAAACCCUGUUUUUAGAGAAGAAAGUGCGUGAGAGUAACUGUUCACGUUUCGACGGUAUCUAACCAGAAAGCCACGGCUAACUACGUGCCAGCAGCCGCGGUAAUACGUAGGUGGCGAGCGUUAUCCGGAUUGAUUGGGCGUAAAGGGAACGCAGGCGGUCUCUUAAGUCUGAUGUGAAAGCCUUCGGCUUAACCGGAGUAGUGCAUUGGAAACUGGGAGACUUGAGUGCAGAAGAGGAGAGUGGAACUCCAGGUGUAGCGGUGAAAUGCGUAGAUAUAUGGAAGAACACCAGUGGCGAAAGCGGCUCUCUGGUCUGUAACUGACGCUGAGGUUCGAAAGCGUGGGUAGCAAACAGGAUUAGAUACCCUUGUAGUC
rnacentral:rRNA from 1 species